rnacentral:rRNA from 1 species
UACGUAGGGUGCAAGCGUUGUCCGGAAUUAUUGGGGCGUAAAGAGCUCGUAGGCGGCUUGUCACGUCGACUGUGAAAAACCCGAGGCUCAACCUCGGGGCCUGCAGUGGGGUACGGGGCAGACUAGAGUGCGGGUAGGGGGAGACUGGAAUUUCCUGGGUGUAGCGGGUGAAAUGCGCAGAUAUCAGGGAGGGGAAACACCCGGGUUGGGCGAA